AGUUGGUACGGGCAGACUAGAGUGCAGUAGGGGAGACUGGAAUUCCUGGUGUAGCGGUGAAAUGCGCAGAUAUCAGGAGGAACACCGAUGGCGAAGGCAGGUCUCUGGGCUGUAACUGACGCUGAGGAGCGAAAGCAUGGGGAGCGAACAGGAUUAGAUACCCUGGUAGUCCAUGCCGUAAACGUUGGGCACUAGGUGUGGGGGACAUUCCACGUUUUCCGCGCCGUAGCUAACGCAUUAAGUGCCCCGCCUGGGGAGUACGGCCGCAAGGCUAAAACUCAAAGGAAUUGACGGGGGCCCGCACAAGCGGCGGAGCAUGCGGAUUAAUUCGAUGCAACGCGAAGAACCUUACCAAGGCUUGACAUGAACCGGUUAGACCUGGAAACAGGUCCCCCCACUUGUGGCCGGUUUACAGGUGGUGCAUGGUUGUCGUCAGCUCGUGUCGUGAGAUGUUGGGUUAAGUCCCGCAACGAGCGCAACCCUCGUUCUAUGUUGCCAGCGGGUUAUGCCGGGGACUCAUAGGAGACUGCCGGGGUCAACUCGGAGGAAGGUGGGGACGACGUCAAAUCAUCAUGCCCCUUAUGUCUUGGGCUUCACGCAUGCUACAAUGGCCGGUACAAAGGGUUGCGAUACUGUGAGGUGGAGCUAAUCCCAAAGCCGGUCUCAGUUCGGAUUGAGGUCUGCAACUCGACCUCAUGAAGUUGGAGUCGCUAGUAAUCGCAGAUCAGCAACGCUGCGGUGAAUACGUUCCCGGGCCUUGUACACACCGCCCGUCAAGUCACGAAAGUUGGUAACACCCGAAGCCGGUGGCCUACGG
rnacentral:rRNA from 1 species